GGGAAGAGCAAGGGAGAGGAGGAAAAGAUAAAGAGAGAGGAGAGGCGGAAAAGAGAGAGAGCAAGGGGAGGAGGAGAGGAGAGAAGUGAGGAGGGGACGGGAGAGCAGGAAAGCAGAGGAGAGGGGAGGGGAGAGAGGGAAGGAGAGGAGGCUGAAAUAUAAGAAACCUCACAGGUAAACAAUGUUGGAAAAAGUUGUUCAUCAGAAAAUUAAUGUGUCGUAUUGCUUGUCUCCACUACUCUUGUACACUCUCUUGCACCAAAGAAGAGAUGCCUGGGAACUACAUUUUCCAUUGUCCCUUGGUAAAAGUUUCAGGUUAGAUUGAGAAACGUUGGGCACAAUUUGGAAGACAGAAGAGAAGACAUGAUUUUUCCACUGCACUUGUGAGAAGACACAUAGGCACUAAGCAAGGCAAUGGGGUACCAUUAGCUCACAGUAGACAAAGGAAGUAGAAGUUUCUAACAUUAGUGCCUUUUCUUUGGAAUGUAAACUAACCAUCUCCUCUGAGAAGGUAAGAGGGUCUAUAUAGUUUCACUGCAAUGGAUUAUAAUAACCAUUUCCUGGGACAUAAAUCUAUAAAUCAUUACGAAGUAAUACACAAUCUCUAGCUUACAGGGCACAUACAAUCAAUUAUUUUUUCUUUAUUUUGAAUUGACAAGUAUAAACUCUCUAUGUUUAUGGUGUACAUGAUGUUUUGAUAUACGCAUACCUUGUGAAAUGGCUAAAUUAAACUAUUUAACACAUCCAAUAUAUGCAUUACCUCACAUAAUUUUUUCUGGUGAGAACACUUGAAAUACACCCUUUUAGAAAUAUAUCUAUAAGAUAUUGUUAUUAACUGUAGUCAGCAUGAGGUCAAUAGAUUUCUUGAACUUGUUCGUCCUAACUGAAUUUUUUGUGUUCUUGCCCAGUGCUCUUUGACAGAAAUCCCAGAUCAUGAACAUACAUGAAAAUAUUCAUGGAGAAUUGUCUCCUACCAAAUUUUAUGGAAAACUCAUAUUUCAAAAAAAGACACGUCUAAGAAUGAGGGAGAUAAUGAUCACAACAGAUGACUCCACCAAAUCUGAUUAUCUGAUGACCCAUCCAGUGGGUGAAAAGUCGCUUUUCUUCUAUAUCUCAUACAUGCUUAAACUUAACACAAAUCAGUGGUGAUGCUUAUGGAAUUAGCAAGAAACACUGGAAUACUUUGUUUUUUAGAGUUUACAUUAACUCAGUAAAAUGUAUUUCCAAUAUAUGACAUUAAUAUGUCAGGUGCUCUGUGCAUUUUAUGGUUUAUGCAUCUAUUUAUCAGUGAACCAUUUGCCCCAAUCUACAACACUGGAUCUCUGAGCCUAGAACUGGCACCUUCUUUCGACGCAUUUAAUCUUAUAAAAUGAAACACUAUUGUGCCUUGAGUGAAAGCCUAGAUAGGAAUAUUUUGAUUUAAUUUUGUUUAUAACAUGGCUAGUGGGAAUUUUUUCUUGUUUUUGCAAUUUCAUAAUCUAUCCAUACAAAUAUCUAGGAUGCUUGAGUUUUUAUCUUUUUCUGUUUGUUAAUUUCACAGGCCAAGCUACAUUUGGCAGUAUUUCUCCCCUAUCAUUUUAAACUGAAAAUCCCAAGACUGAUAAAAUUUCAAAACUAAGCUGAAAUAAGAAGAAGGAAAAUAGUGUUUCCGGUGUUUAUCAUUCCACUGGCCCAACAACAAAAGCCAAUCAUAUUCAACUGAAAUAAUUUCAAAUUACUUAUUUAAUACUAGAUGUAUGCCAACUAGGAUAUUAGAUAUAAAAAUACCAAGUAAUAUAAUUUAUGUCUUUAAGUUCAGUAGCUACCAGGGAACAUAGACAUGUUAACAAUUAAUUAUAAAACAAUCCUAGAGUGUCUUUUUUAAUUGUGUUUACAAAGUUUUAUCAAAGCCUAGGGGAAUCAGUCACUUGGUUUUACACAAGUUAUUUGGUCAAGUGAACUUUUUUUUUUUUUUCACAAAUUGAAGCAUCUGACUAUUUCUAACACUGUGAUCCACAGUAUUAAGACAAUUAAAAUGCCAUAUUUAGGGAAUGUAUAAAUGUAUUAUUUUUCUUUAUGCAAAUUUCAAGUUGUUUAUUAUAUUCAGAAUGAGAAACAUUACAAAUAUAGAAAAUGCUGCAAAGUCAGCUUGGUUUUUGUACUUUCAUAUGAACUAGUCUCUGAGUACCCAGAUUAAUUAGCUAAUCACUGCAUUGUCAAGUCUCUAUAAUGCUCUCUGCUGUAUCCUAUCACUGACUUUUUCUGGGUUAAGAUUUAUUUUGGGAAUUGAGAGCCAAGGCUGGAACACACUGAACAGAGUGUUCUAUUUCUGUGUGAAAUGAUAGAUGUUGCUCUUGCCCAGAAUGAAAAUGCUUUGCACUGCUCCCAAUCUGUAAACUGUUCCAUUUGCUUGGCAUAAUAAGUAUACUGAUGUAUUUAAUUCUGUCUACCAGACCCAUGCUGUUCAAUUCCCCUCUGCUAGCCAAAUAUACCAGAAGUCACAAAUUUCUCUCCAAUAAGGAAACUAAAUGUGAUCUCUUCUAUAAGUAAAAGCAGUGUUAGUGUCCUGUUAUUAUUUUUUGGAGUUACCGUAUGUUUUAAAUCCAAGAUUAGCAAAAGAUUUGUUAUAAUCUUUUCACUUUUAUCAACUACUUAGUCCAGCAAACAUACUGACAAAAUAAUUGUAUAUGCUCAAAUGUACAGUCUGUGGAAAUGAUUCGAUGUUUGUAUAACUACCACUUUCUUUCAAAAUGAACCUUCAUUUUGUUGUCUCCUUUUCAC
rnacentral:lncRNA from 1 species